CCUACGGGAGGCAGCAGUGGGGAAUUUUGCGCAAUGCUCGUAAGAGUGACGCAGCGACGCCGCGUGAAUGACGAAGGCCUUCGGGUCGUAAAGUUCUUUCGAUAGGGAAGAAAAUGCUUAUAAGUAACUGUGUAUGUAUUUACGGUACCUGUAUAAGCAGCCCCGGCUAACUCCGUGCCAGCAGCCGCGGUAAUACGGAGGGGGCGAGCGUUGUUCGGAGUGAUUGGGCGUAAAGAGCACGUAGGCGGUGUUGUAAGUCAUUAGUCAAAGACUAGAGCUCAACUUUAGUAAGGCUAGUGAUACUAUAAUACUAGAGUAUCAGAGAGGAUUGCAGAAUUCCUGGUGUAGCGGUGAAAUGCGUAGAUAUCAGGAGGAAUACCGUUAGCGAAGGCAGCAAUCUGGCUGGAAACUGACGCUGAGGUGCGAAAGCGUGGGUAGCAAACAGGAUUAGAUACCCCAGUAGUC
rnacentral:rRNA from 1 species